UUUGAUCCUGGCUCAGGACGAACGCUGGCGGCGUGCUUAACACAUGCAAGUCGAGCGGUAAGGCCCUUCGGGGUACACGAGCGGCGAACGGGUGAGUAACACGUGGGUGAUCUGCCUCGUACUCUGGGAUAAGCCUGGGAAACUGGGUCUAAUACCGGAUAUGACCACGAAUCGCAUGGUUUGUGGUGGAAAGAUUUAUCGGUGCGAGAUGGGCCCGCGGCCUAUCAGCUUGUUGGUGGGGUAAUGGCCUACCAAGGCGACGACGGGUAGCCGGCCUGAGAGGGCGACCGGCCACACUGGGACUGAGACACGGCCCAGACUCCUACGGGAGGCAGCAGUGGGGAAUAUUGCACAAUGGGCGGAAGCCUGAUGCAGCGACGCCGCGUGAGGGAUGACGGCCUUCGGGUUGUAAACCUCUUUCGACAGGGACGAAGCGCAAGUGACGGUACCUGUAGAAGAAGCACCGGCCAACUACGUGCCAGCAGCCGCGGUAAUACGUAGGGUGCGAGCGUUGUCCGGAAUUACUGGGCGUAAAGAGCUUGUAGGCGGUUCGUCGCGUCGAUCGUGAAAACUUGCAGCUCAACUGCGAGCUUGCGGUCGAUACGGGCGGACUAGAGUACUGCAGGGGAGACUGGAAUUCCUGGUGUAGCGGUGAAAUGCGCAGAUAUCAGGAGGAACACCGGUGGCGAAGGCGGGUCUCUGGGCAGUAACUGA
rnacentral:rRNA from 1 species